CCUACGGGAGGCAGCAGUGGGGAAUAUUGGACAAUGGGCGAAAGCCUGAUCCAGCCAUGCCGCGUGAGUGAAGAAGGCCUUAGGGUUGUAAAGCUCUUUCAGCGGGGAAGCGGUACCCGCAGAAGAAGUCCCGGCUAACUUCGUGCCAGCAGCCGCGGUAAUACGAAGGGGACUAGCGUUGUUCGGAUUUACUGGGCGUAAAGCGCGCGUAGGCGGAUCGCUAAGUCAGGGGUGAAAUCCCAGGGCUCAACCCUGGAACUGCCUUUGAUACUGACGAUCUGGAGAUCGGGAGAGGUUGGUGGAAUUCCGAGUGUAGAGGUGAAAUUCGUAGAUAUUCGGAGGAACACCAGAAGCGAAGGCGGCCAACUGGCCCGAACUGACGCUGAGGCGCGAAAGCGUGGGGAGCAAACAGGAUUAGAUACCCUUGUAGUC
rnacentral:rRNA from 1 species